AACAACUGUAACAAAUUCAACACUUGACACUACUACACCCACAGAUAUACCAACAACUGCAGUUACCAACUCAACAACAGUUGCUACAACA